rnacentral:lncRNA from 1 species
GAGCGAGGGCUGUGAGGACUGCCAGCACGCUGACACCUCUCACCGCCAUUUGCCAGGUCCAGAGUUCUUGUCCUACAUCCAGGAAGAAUGAAGUACGUGGACAACUGGAAAGUGAGUAAGGCAGAGAGAAGCUUCACUGAGUAACAGAACAGCUAUCAGGAGACCUGCAGUGGGUAGCCCCUUUCCAUAGGCAGGUCGGCCCAACAAGUCAGGAAGACCUGAAGUGGGUAGCUUCUUCGACUGAUUCCUUAUCCAACAUCACUUUCUGGACUACCUAGAAUCCAACUAUCAUGUGCUUUCACCAAGAUGUCAUCUUGUGGGCUAGUCCGUUGGACCUACUUGACCAAUCAGACACUAUCCUAAUCUCCAUAAUGUGAUACCUCCUGAGAGGCAGCCAUUUGACACAGACACUUUUCUCAGUUUGCUCAGGCUCCAACGCCAUGAUCUGCUAUGCAACUCUCUCCACAGUCUCCAUCAUGGAUACCUGCCUUUUAUUCCAACACCUAAUGUUUUAGUAUUAAAUCAUUCCAUAUGAUAAGAGUAGAGAGGUGAAAGAGGAAGACUCAUUCAACGGAAGUUGAUCUGCUGUGUUUUCACAAUUAUUCCAUACAUAACAUUUUCUAAUAUCUUUGUUACUUCUUUUUUUGACUCAGUUACAUAGAAAUAUUUUUCUUAAUUUCCAAAUAUAUGAGUAUAUUCCUUAUAAUUUUGCUAUUGAUCUUUAAUCUCAUUCCAUUGAUUUUAAAGAUUGUUCUCUUUAAGACUGCAAUACAUUGAAUUUGUUAGGCCUUUCUAUUGCCUAUCAUAUGGUCACAUUUGGUGAAUUUUCAAUGUGCUCUUGAGGGAAAAAAAAAGUGUAUUCUAGAGUUGAUUCGUUUAAUGCAGUAUAAAUAAUAUUAUGUUAUGUUAUUUUAAUUUUUCUGAAUACUUAGUGAUUUUUAAAAAACCAUCCAUACCGAUUUCCAAGAAGGAGUAUUAAAACCUCCACUAGUAAUUGUGGAUGUGCCUAUAUCUGUUUUUAGUUGUCUCCAAUUUUGAAUUUUUUAUCUUUAGUAUGGAAAAAUAAGCAUUUUUAUUUCUUGUAAAAAUUAAUUAUUUAUUAUAAAAUAUCCGUUUUUAUUAAUGGCAAAUAUCUUUGUCUUGAUGCCUACUUUAUUAUGUAGCUCUGAUGAAAUUGCCAAUAAAAGGACCAAGCUUCACUGAUCACAAGAAGUAAUAUGGAAUCCAUACUAUCAUAUUCCCAUUUUCUGAAAACUUAACCAUGAGUUGGGGCUUCAAGGACAGGAGGCUUCUGACAUUGGGUUAUCUGAUGGCACAACACCAAAGAGACAUUCUACACUGGUUUGAACUGAGAGCAAUGGACCUGAGACCAUUCUUGAAACCAGGUAUACUGGG